GAAUGUGAUACUUGUGUCUUCAUUAUACGGAGAAUAACGGAUUAUGCGGUUUGCGGCUAGUUUUAGCGGAAGUAGCACACGAAGAAAAUGAUAGGAAAUAAAUCAAAUUAACGAGGCGAAAUAAACAGAGGUUAUCCAUUUUUAAUCUAUCGCUAUUUUCUUCUGUUUACGAUAAGUUAUUCGCAACGUUGAAUCGUAUAUUUGAUUGUCUGAAACCAGGGAUGAUUGCAGCGGCACACUCGACUUGUCCGACAUUAAGUCGACCUUGAGGCCAAGCAUGCCACGUUUACAACCGCCUUAUGUCGGAUACGUUUUACGAAAGACACAGCGAUCAGAAAACUCGAUAUGAUUUUAUAGCUAACAAUCUCUCCUUUUAAAGCACUACGAGAUGUUCAUAAUUAAUACAGCAAGCUGAAUAUCAAGGAUUCAUUAUAUUGCUUCACACUACAACAGCCAAUAUAUUAGUAAAGAGAAGAGAGACAUAUAAGAGUGAAAUACGUGUUCACAAAUAGUUCAGGGACGAAACAUUAACGUCAUCCAUCCUUCGAAAUCGAGCUGCAAAAAUGUUGUAAUCGUGAUAGGACGUGACACAAACAAUGAUGGGGAUUAGUAAGCGCGGACUACCUCUAGGAAGAAUAG